ACCCGCUCGUUAACCAAAUUCCCCAAAUAAAAGUUUGUACUUAUUUCUUUUUCCCUUUUACUUCUUUUUCCUUUUCAUUUCACUGCUCCUUUUCUCUCGAUCUGUUAGGGUUUUGGAGAAACAAGUGGAAGUUGAAGAGAAUGAGAACGAGGAAGAAGAAGAAGAAGAAGAAGAAGAAGAGGAGGAAGAGAAGAGGGGGGAGGAGGAAGAAAAGUCGUAGAAAGGUAUUCAGCUCCUUCUGUUGCAAGGUCUUCCUCAUUUAAAACUGUCAAUUGAAAAGGUGCAAAGUCUUCUUCAACAAAUGAUGCAACUUGCCGAGCAUGAACAUAAGCUAAUUGAAAUGAACUCCAACAGUGAAAAACUUCAACAAACGUACAAUGAACUCCUGGAGUUCAAGAUGGUUUUUCUAAAGGAUUUUUCUAGUCUUGUUUUAUCUACUGUCGGUGAGUGUUACUACAAAGUCACAGCUGAGGCAUUAAGAGUAUGUGGGGAACUUAGUGCGCCCAAAUCUUGAGGUUUUGGUUUUGAUUUUGAACCUUAUGUUCACCCAAUCUAUAAUGCAAUAAUGUCCCGCUUGACUAACCAAGAUCAAGAUCAGAUGCAUACUUUGGCUUUCUGUUCCAGUGUUUUGGAUUCUCUGGAGGUUGAAUUGAAAGCAUCAAAGGACUUCUCUAAGUUAUAUGCAGGCAUUGCAAUACUUUGGCUUCAUCUAAGCUUGUACCAACCCUCUGUUGUAUAUUGUUUCUUCUUCUUUUCUGAUCUUUUUCUUUGAUUAAUGAGAGGUGAUGAUGAUUUGGCAUUCUUUUCUCACCAGGAUGAAUUUUGUUUUAGAAAUUGUAAUACUUUGUGAGUGUAUUUGUGUUUUUUUAUGUAUUAAAUUACAUAUUGAAUCAA